CAACUCCUGAGCCGUCGAGCUUAGGAGCGCAGGGGCGGCCCUCGGCAGCGACGGUUAGCGAGGACUGCAGUGCUAGCCGGCGCUUUACUCUUUACAAACAUAAGCUCUCGUUCGAGCCCCACCACAGACAGGUGGCGGAGUAAGUCUCCUCCUUGUUUGGCAGGUAAGGAAACUGAGGCUCAGGGGGUUCAAACUCGAACCCAAGUCCGCAAGUCCUCUGUAUCUGAUUCCAGAGAGCCAAAGCAGACCACGACCGAAGCCCCGGGCCUCUGGACGUUUCCCUCCGAGGCUGACAGACCACCAGGCCCUGCAGGCAGCGCCCACUUGGAGUAAUGCCCCUGGUUUGAGGGGACGCCCUCCCCUGGGCCCGUCGGGAAGGGCCCCUGGGGUGGAUGAAUACAAGUGUAACCAGCCAUGACCCCCUGCUUCUCCCGCCACCCGCCCCCCAGCCCAUCUUCUAGCUGCUCUCUCCAAAGGAGACUCGCGUACACCCACGCCUUGGGGCUGCCGAAGAAUUCGGCACCUUCCUGCGCCGGGUCCUGGCCCCUUGGUGGAACAGGUGCCGCUCCGCGCCCCCCUUGCCUCGGCCCUCCAAAUGCACACUCCGUCUCUGCCCCUCCCCCCAGCUCCCCCUCCCUUGGCGGCCACCGCUAAAAAUAGCCCCUCUUCCCGUUUCCUAAAUUCCCUGCUGACGUCGGAGCUACGUCAGUGUGUAGGAGCCGCGGCCGCAUGAAUGAGGAGCCGGCCCGAGUACUAUCCCAGCUAUAAAAGCUGCGGCGCGGUGGCGACGGCUGCGGGAGCUGAGCGGCGGGGGCUGGGGCACCAGGCAGCCCGGCGGCCAGGGCCCUGAGACAAGACUGCAGCAAAACCACAGACUCUGUCCGUCCCUCCACCCCGCAGCUCUGUCCCAAAGGGAGAGUGGAGGAGUCAGACGCCCCGAUCUGGAUCUGUUGGUUCCUCUGGUUUCUGCGCCAUCCCAGGCAGAGAAGAGGGAGGGGGAGGCGGGAAUCCGCCCCCUUUCCACUCCCCCGCCGCUAGUCAGGCUCCACCUGCCAACCUCGCCUUCUCCCCGAAGGACCUCAUCCCCACGGACGGAUGCCUGCCCCGCAACUCGGUAGCUCCAAGCACCCCCGCCCCCUCUCUGCAACGCGGCGGCUUGGUGACUCAGCCUCGGCCGCCAGAGCUGGGGGUGGGGGUGAGGGGAAAGGAAGGACGUGCCCUGCCCCCAGGAGAGCCACCCCGUUUUUCCUAGCUUCUCUGGACUUGGCUUUCCAGGAACCCCUUCUCGCAAACCUCCCUUCUCCCGGAGAUCCAGCCCAUCUCCUUCAACCUUCCAGAUCCCCCUUUCCCAGUCUUCUCUUUCCCUCCGCUCUCAUCCGCCCCCCAACCCCUCCCCUGCGGAGAGCUCCCAGGGCUCGGAGCUGUCCUCUCAGCACCAGGAGCCAGAGAGACCGGGCUGCUGCCAGAGCAACACUCAGAAUCCCGCCUCCUAUCCUACCCCCCCCCACCUCUCCCACUCCAACUCCCUCCCCGCUCCCUCCCCCCCCCUUGGCCACCGGAACUGCCCCCUUUGUUCCCCCGCCCCCGCUGCAGCCUCCCACGUCACACUGGCUCUGACGUCAGGGGCCGCGUGCUGAGCCCCCAUGCUCAGGCACUUUGCGGGGAGGGGGAGGGGGAAGGGGGAGUCUUUAAUCCUGGAGGCGCGUCUGUCGUCUUUCCUGACAGCUCAAGUUUCAGCCGCUUGCCCCAGUCCAAAGGAGGAGGAGGAUCCAUUCAGGUCCGGCCCGGGCAGCGCGCCGGCACCUUGGCUCUAGACUGCUUACUGCCCGGGCCACCCUCAGUAACAGUCUCCAGUCACGGCCACCGACGCCUGGCCCCCGCCCCUGGACACCUGGACGCUCCUGGAGCCCCACAGAUUCCCGCCGCCCCUUCAACAUCUCUGCCCCUCACAGAACCUUGCUGGGCUUCUUCGACACUUCCCUGCUGCAGUUUACUCCCUAGGGUGUCCCUGUGUGGCCCCAGGGAUGUACAAGCCCCCAGACCCGACCACGCAGAUGAGUCCCAAGGGGUGGGGUGUGGAAAGAAGCUCUGCGCCGCCCCCUCCCCCCCCCCCCCAGCCAGUGCUAGGCUCUGGGCUGCCCUUCCCGCCCGAGGACCAUCUUUGGAGCUGUCCGUGGUGCUGAUCCCAGCGGACUGCUUCUCCUGGGCUGCUGGACUAGGGCUGAGCUCUGAGCGUAGAUUCGGGGGUAUCUCGCAGGUGGGGUGGGGGGAGAAAGGGGGGUAUAUUCAGACCCCGGGGGAAAUGCCGCAGUCCACUCCCAGGCUAUGGUCCCAGACAUCCGGGACUCUAGGAUCUGCCUCGAGAAUCUCACGGGGAAAGGGCUAGACAUCUGUGGCCUUUACGCAACACCCCAAACCCACUCGGGGGCCCAGGCUGUUCCACCUGAGCGCUCUCCCCCGGAACUGCGCCGAUCCUCCCUCCCUCUCCAUCCCUCUCCAUUCCUCCCCAUCCCUCCAUCCUCCCCCGAAACCUAGCCUUAGCCCCAGCCGCAAACUCUGACGUCAGGAAGCUCCGGAGAUGCCGUCACUCGCGCGCCCCCCACCCGCCCCCGCGUCUCCAGGGCAACCGUGGCUUUCGAUUGUUACUGUGGGAACCAGGGGUAACAGUCUACAGCCAUGGUCGCCCCGCAGCACGCCCACGCGGCUGUUCCUCUCCCCUCCCUCCCCGCUCACUCCACCCCACCCCACUCCACCCCACCCUUCCUCUAGCUGCGCGCUCAUUCGCCCGCCCCGCCAGAGAGCUGGGAGAGGGAGGUGGGGCUGUAGGCGGGGCGCAGUCUGAAGGGGCGUGGCCAGCAAGCUCCCAAACACCCUCUCCCGGGGUGAGAGGCAGGAAUGAAACGCCUCUCGAGGCCAAGCAUUUGGUCGUCCUCGUGCCCCUCGGGGGCACCAUUUGGGACCGGGGGACACAGCAUCCCCGAGUCUACGUCUAGACGCAGCUUGGGGGUCGUCCCAGCGCUCCCCCACCUCCAAAAAGGAGAGCAGCCUGAGACAAAAGCGCCCCGAAGACCGCGGCCAUUUGUCACAGUGAGUCUCUGCAUGUCUGUCUGUCUGACAGGUGCGGCCACGGCCCGCCCCUUCUGCCCUCGAGAGACGCCGAGGUGGGCCCAGCCUUCCCGCACCCGGGCUGGCCCCUAAGGAGAAGGCGGGGCCUGGAGGGCAAGCCCUGCCAGGGCUCAGUUUGAGCAUUUCUCUCGCGCGCGCACCCUCCGCCCCACAGACACACCCAAAGAGGCCCCGGGAGGAGGGAAAGGAGGAGGCAGGGAAAGAAAAGGGACGGCAGCGUGUAAGCCCAUCGUCCCCGGAGGCCCUGCUCCCCUCCACCAGCUCGGCUUCUGCCCUGGACCAGUCGGAGGCAAUGAAUGGGAGACCGGAGAGUCGGGGGGUGAGUUAUCCAGAGGGGAGAGUUCAGGCAGUGCCCGGGGGGGCCGCUUUGGGAAUGGGUGAGCAGAGAGCUGAGCGGGUGGUCAUCCCCGAGAGGCCCCGACCCUGCAAGACGGCAGGCUGCGGAGUCGAAUGGUGAGGAUGAACUUGGCUCUUUCACUUCAUUCCGUCCAGGGGCCCAGAGCAGCUAGAAUGCUAGAGCUAAGAGAGCUCGGAGACACACGAGGGUGCAACUUACUCGUUUUAUUGAUGAAAAAAAUUGAUAAUAGGGGAAGUGAAUGUUGCAGGGCGAUCUAGUGAUGAAUUAGUGUCAGAGCUGGAUUCGAAUCCAGGUUUUCUGGCUCCUUUCUCAUAGUUUUUUUUCACUCAGUGUUCCACAGAUGAAGCUCAUGAGUUUGGUUCUGUGAACUGUAGUGCGUGAAAGGAGGGAAAUCAGAGAUGAGAGAGAAGGCAGGAAAAGGACUAAGAAUCAAGCAGAAAAAGAAGUUUGUGAAUUUAUGUUCUAAAGCAAAAAUGAAGAAGAGUCGCUUAGUGGCCUGGUGGAUAGAACAUGAGGCUGAGAAUCAGGAAGAAGCCAAUCUCAGACACUUUUCUGGCUGUAUGACCCUGGAUAGGUCACUUUACCUGGUUUACCUCAGUGUCCUCAUCUGUAAAAUGGGCCAGAGAAGGAAAUGCAAACUACUCCAGUAUCUUUGCAACCUAAAUCCAAUUGAAUCUCCAGCUUCCCUCCCCUCUAUGGUCCUCUCUUUUCCUCAUACAGCACUUCCUUUUCUGCCUCCUUGUCUUUGUGCUGGCUCACCUUCAUACCUGGAAUAUACCCUCCUUUUCAUCUCCACUUCACAGAAUCGUUGUUCAGCCCGGUCAGUUGUAUCCUCUUUGUGACCCCAUUUGGGGCUUUCUUGGCAAAAAUACUAGAGUGGUUUGCCAUCUCCUUCUCGAGCCCAUUUUAGAGAUGAGAAGAAAGCUGCCCAACAGGGUGAUGAAUUGGCUCGGCCCAGGGCCACCUAGGCCAAUAAGGUGUUCUCGGUCCAGAUUUGAACUCCAGAAGAUUCGACUUCCUGACUCCAGAUCCAGCACUAUCCACUGCACCACCCAGCUGCUCACCACUCCAGUCAGAGCCUCAGGCAACUGGACAAUAACGAGCGGAGGAGGUGGUGGGAUCAGAGGGCAGAGAAUUUUUUUUUAUCAGAAAAGAGCCUUUAGGUAUCUAGUCCCAUUUUUUCAUGUUUACAAAUGAGGAAGUGGAGGCCCGGAGUACAAGGAACUUACUCGGGAAUCACAUACAGGUCAACGGGAGAACCAGAAGGCCUGAGACAAAUGAUGAGACCGUUUUCUUGGGGUGUCCUUAUAAGGCAGCACAGAAGAGGGAAAAUGGGAGUCGGGACCCGAGUUCUACCCCCGGCUCUGACACAAUCUAGCUGGGAUAUGCUGGUCACGUUUGUGGGCCUCAGUCCCCCCCCCCCCAGCUGAUUUGUUUCUAUUAUACCACCCCUCACUCCUCUGCCAGUCAUACCAUCCUCCUCCUCCUCUCUGGCAGUCACAGCAUUAGAUUAGAUGGUUCCCCCCAUCCAAAGGACAAUCCGGCUCAUCUUGAAGUCCUCCAUCCUGGAGAGGUGAGCACCGCAGGCUUUCUUGGGGAGGACUGAAAUGAAGAGGGGCUGAGGAAGGCUCCCUGGGGAAGGUGGGAUUUCAGUUGGGACUUGAAGGAAGCCGAGGAGGGAGAGCAUUCCAGAUAUGGGAGACAAGCUAAGAAAAUGCCCAGCCAAGAGAAUGUGGUGUCUAUUUGUAGAACAGCCAGGAAGCCAGUCACUGGAUGCAGGACAGGUUGGAGGGGAGUGGGGAGAGGCUCAAGACACAGACCACCAAGCAGGCCACUGCAGUAAUCCAGGGGGUGAGGUGAUGAAGGUCGGGGGAGGGGGGGAUUUGACAGAUGUUGCAAAGGUGCAAUCAGCAACCCUUUGGCUUAGGAUAACUCCUAACUCGGGAGUCAAAAGACUUAAGAGGACAAUGUUGGCCCUCUACGGUGAGGAGAGUUUGGGGAAAAGACAUUAAGUUCUGUUUGGGACAUGUUGCAAUUAAGACACGUCAGAUACCCAAUUGGAAAAGUCCGAAAGGCGACUGGAGAUGUGAGAUUGGAGUUUGAGCCAAGAUGGGCAAAUAUCAGAACAGAUUCUACAUCAAACAAUUAAAAGUCUGAGCAUGGUCUCCCUUGUCCUUUUCCUCCCAUGCCUCCAGGAAGGGAAUUAAAUUAUGAGGUGGGGAGUUAGGUGGCUCAGGGAAUAAAGAGCCAGGCCCAGAGAUGGGAGGUCCUGGGUUCAAAUUUGACCAAUAUUAAGACAAAAGGUAAGGGUUUAAAAUAAAACCAAAAUAUUUAAAUUACUGCCCCCAUCAGGCAGGCCAAAGGAACACAGAUCCUCAGAGUCUGGGUCCCUAGAAUCAUAAA